ACGAACGCUGGCGGCGCGCUUCACCCAUGCAAGUCGAACGGAAAGGCCUGCUUUCCCUUGUGGAUUGCGGGUACUCGAGUGGCGAACGGGUGAGUAACACGUGAGUGAUCUGCCCCCAACUUGGGUAUAAGCCUGGGAAACUGGGUCUAAUUCCCGAUAGGACUGCAGGGUGGUGCCUGUGGUGGAAAACGAUUUUCUAGUGGUUGGGGAUGAGCUCGCGGCCUAUCAGCUUGUUGGUGGGGUAAUGGCCUACCAAGGCGGCGACGGGUAGCCGGCCUGAGAGGGUGGACGGCCACAUUGGGACUGAGAUACGGCCCAGACUCCUACGGGAGGCAGCAGUGGGGAAUAUUGCACAAUGGGCGGAAGCCUGAUGCAGCGACGCAGCGUGGGGGAUGACGGCCUUCGGGUUGUAAACUCCUUUCGACCGCGAGGAAGCCACCUGGUUGGAAGGGUGGUGACGGUAGUGGUAGAAGAAGCACCGGCUAACUACGUG
rnacentral:rRNA from 1 species